rnacentral:hammerhead_ribozyme from 1 species
GUACUGAUGAGGAGUCCUAUAAUAGAACGAAACGGCCGUCCAGUGU